AGUAGGGAAUCUUCGGCAAUGGGCGAAAGCCUGACCGAGCAACGCCGCGUGAGCGAUGAAGGCCUUCGGGUCGUAAAGCUCUGUUGUUAAGGAAGAACAAGUACGAGAGUAACUGCUCGU
rnacentral:rRNA from 1 species